CAGUAGGCGUGCCUCCUCUAUUUGAAUUUGGAACUGAGCUGCAGCCCCCCCUCUGGAGCCGCCCCUGCUUGUGGGGUCAUUGUCAGGGGAGAGGGAAGAUUUGCUGGAGCUGCCAUCUCAGCUGUAAGGUCACAGUGCGGUGUGAAAGGGUCACGCCAGAAAUCCUGGGUCGUCUGAUUCAACCCGGGUUAUAAGAAGGGUUAUUCCCAGGGAAAGGCUGAAUAUUGAACAGUAAUGUUGAAUGGUUUGUAAUUUGGAGAAAGAAGAAUUAAAAAAAGAUUCCAGCGAUUGCUCUUAACCUCUUCCAGGCUAGAAGGUCCCCAGAUGCACAUCCAACUUUUAGUGUUGCUGUCAUCCGAUGUAACUUUCCAGCUUCUUUCCUUUUCAUUUCUGGGACUUCCGAACACACUAAUUAAAAUUCUAGGUCUGUACAUUACCAGACUGAUUCUGAGUCAGGCGCCUGCGCAGAAAUUGGCGCAUCUCGCAGCUUUACACCCGCUGCAUGUGCAUCUGAAAGUGGCAUGAUGGGUCCACAGUAGCUAGCAGCUCCGGACGUGGUUCUGAUGGGCUGCGUCCAGGAACAGAGCACUGUGGGGC